GCCGAGUGGCAGCCGUCGGACGUGGACCAGCGCUGCCUGGACAGCCGCUUUGGUCUCCGCUCCUCAACGUGCCCCCCAGCCUCCCCUAAGAAAUUCUGUGGGGGCGUCGGAAAGGCGGGUGCACAGGACUCGGCCCCCACCCAAGCGUUCGCCUCCUGCAGCAUCGCGGCCACCACGCAAGCCCAGGGCCUGACCAACGUGAAGGCCCCGCUACACCUGGACGUGACGUGGGGCUGGGAGCACUGGGGCGGGAUCCUGCCACAGUCGCUGGACCUGUUGCUCUGCAUCAACAUGGCCCAUGUCAGCCCCCUGCGCUGCACGGAGGGGCUCUUCAGAGCAGCAGGACACCUGCUCAAACCCAGGGCCCUGCUCAUCACCUACGGGGGAGGGGGUGCCCUUUCAUUCUCCAAACCCCAGCCUGCAAGUCUGUCCCAGGCUCUCUGGGAAAUACCCCGACCUUGGUCCAGUGGGCUGUGUCCCCAUGCCCACAGCCCUAUGCCAUCAAUGGGAAGAUCUCCCCCCAGAGCAACGUGGACUUUGACCUGAUGCUCAGAUGCAGGAACCCAGAAUGGGGGCUUCGGGACACAGCCCUCCUGGAGGACCUGGGAAAGGCCAGUGGCCUGCUCCUGGAGAGGAUGGUGGACAUGCCAGCCAACAACAAAUGCCUGAUCUUCCGGAAAAACUAAGCCCCUCCUUCACCCCCGCACACCUGCAUCCCUGCCGGAGGCUCUGUGAGGCACGAACCCUGCCUCCCUAG
rnacentral:lncRNA from 1 species